rnacentral:rRNA from 1 species
UACGUAGGGUGCAAGCGUUAAUCGGAAUUACUGGGCGUAAAGCGUGCGCAGGCGGUUUUGGAAGACAGGUGUGAAAUCCCCGGGCUUAACCUGGGAACUGCAUUUGUGACUGCAAGGCUGGAGUGCGGCAGAGGGGGAUGGAAUUCCGCGUGUAGCAGUGAAAUGCGUAGAUAUGCGGAGGAACACCGAUGGCGAAGGCAAUCCCCUGGGCCUGCACUGACGCUCAUGCACGAAAGCGUGGGGAGCAAACAGG